ensembl:lncRNA
AUGGAGGUUCCAAGGCUAGGGGUCUAAUCGGAGCUGUAGCUGCCGGCCUAUGCCACAGUCAGCAACGCGGGAUCCCAGCCGCAUCUGCAACCUACACCACAGUUCACGGCAACGCCGGAUCCUUAACCCACUGAGCAAGGCCAGGGAUUGAACCCGCAACCUCAUGGUUCUUAGUUGGAUUCGUUAACCACUGUGCCAUGACAGGAACUCCUCCAUUACUGGGUCAUAGGGCAUGAGUGUCUUUCUAGACAGAAUGCAAAUUGCUUUUCAGAACGUUGUACCAAUUCUCGUUCUCCUAGUUAGUGUGUCAUUGUAUCCUUAUCAAUAUGAGUAUUAUUUUAAAAAAAUCAAAUAGGAACUGUCGGACCCUCCUCUUUGAUGCCCUGGUCCACUCAUUUCUUUAAAGUUUGAGAACGUAGAGGCCAAUGCCAGUGUGAAGCAAUUCCUGAGGAAGCCACUACUUCUGUCAAAGCUUUCACAGUAUUUCUGUGACUUUUCAGUGACUUCACGCUUCAUUUAAGAAGGCAUAAAACAAUUACCAGGUCAUUAGCAAGCACUUUUUUAAGGGAACUGAAAAAAAAAUCUCUCACAGAGAUAAUUUUGAGCUAAUGUUGUCUUAUUUGGGGGAGGGUUGGGAUGGGAAUCUUAACACAAAUAAAUAAUUUAGAGGCAAGUAUUAUGUUAUGGGAAGAGUGAGCAGGGCAUCCUGCUUACUAGAUUUGGGGAAUCUCCUUGAGAGCUGGGACUCUGGCUUAUUCUUAAAAUGAGCUGCAUUUAACAGCACAGAGUCUGGGCAGGCAGGUCAAUGUCAGAACCCAGGUGCUACCACUUUAUGGCAGUGUAGCCUUAGGUUGGCCUUAACUGUACAUGAAGCACUUAGCAUAGCUAAGCACAUACUAGGUCCUCAAUAAAUGUUAGCCAUUUUCCAUUAUUAUUCAUCUCUGUAACCCCCAGAGGGACAGCAAAUUCUGGGGAUAGCUGAUAACAAGUAUUCGAUGCAACUAUUAAAAAUGAGUAAGUAAGUAUGGAAAAACAACAACAAAAUACAUAUGGAAGAAACCUUCCAGUUUUUCAUAGUAUCAUAUUACCACAUUUAGUCAUCUUCCAGUUCAGAAUUAAGCCUACUCAUAAUCCUCCAGUUCAGAAUUAAGCCAUCUCACAUUUGAAACUUUGCUGUUAUCCACUUAUGCUGACUUGGUGGGAUUUUACUCUGAAAUAAACCAUUGUUUGUAGCCUGUCAUGUUUCUGUUCUUGCAAGGAUCUGCAUUGUGUUUUAGUUCUACCAUUUUAAAUAAUUUAGCAGAUAACAAAGGGGACGAUCACUUAGAGUCUGGUUUAGUCAAAAGGCAUAGGAUGGUGUGUGAAAAAUCCAAUGUUAUUCUGAUCCUCAGUUUUAUUGAAGGCUGCAGAAAGAUAUAAAUUAAGUCCUUUCUAGGUCAGGAUUUUAUGACUCUGAUAAAUUCCCCAGGCUUAGCAGUUGUCAGAGAAAAACAUAUGGGUGAGAAUAUGAAAAUCCUUUCUCCCCAACUACAUCUUUCCAUGAGUAGAUGAGAUAAUAGAUUUGAAAGUGCCUCAAGAAAGUUAAGUUUUAUAAAUCUAAAACAUUGUUAUUAUAAUGUAGGGGACAUACUCACAGCAAAAAUAUGAAAAAGUUAAAAUUGAGCCAAAGUUUCUUUUUAUCCUUUCACAAGAUCUUACAUCCAUAGGGAUUAUUAGAGAUUUGAUGGUGUAAAUGUCUCACUUUUAUGUAUGAAAGAAGAGUAAAGGGACUUUAUCAAGAUCAGUUGAUUGUUUAAAAUCACAGUCCUUUUACUUUGUGUAUAAAUAAUGCAUGGUAAAAAUAAAAAUUUAAAGUGUUCAUUAAAGACUGUGUUUAUCUUCACAAUGCAAGAAAAUAUAAACAUAUACUCAUGUAGUUCAUUUAUAAUGAGUGCAUUAUAAAUGUUACUAUCCUAAGGUGAAUUUAAAAAUCUGAAAUGAGAAGUUUCAGUUAUGAAGGGUUCAUUGGAAUUGAUCAGGUUGGUGUUUUGAAAUGUUUUUGCUGCAUAAGCAGGACAAAGUUAAAUUCCCAGUCUCCACACUUACUGUAAGUUAACCAAACAGCUUUGUCUUUUGGGGAACUGCUUACAUGGAGGGUAAGAUCUUCUCUUGAGGUUAAUUUAUAUUGAAAUUUAAUAAAGGUUAAUGAAGUCUUUUAGGAACUUCCUUUUUUUUUUUUUUUUUUUUUUCCUGAGGGGUCCUGUGCUUAAAGUUAAGCUGCUUCCCUUAAGCAAAACUUUAAAAAAGUCAUUCCAUGGUAGCCAGCAUUCAUCUUACUUGGAGCCAUAAAAGCCCUAUAUGAAAGGUAUUGAGUGACAUUUUGAAUACACAAAACAAACACUAGCUGCAAAAAAAAAAUUUUUUUUGCACUAGGUUGCAAAUAUUAUCUUCGAUUCAUAGGAAGUGUGCUUUCCCACACUCAUUUUUGGAUGAAACUAUAUUUAAAAUAUAGUUCUCCUUUGUCCAACCCUAUCUGGAAAGGCUGAAGAGCAGAGUGAGAAAUCUAAAACAUUUAAAAAAGAAAAUACUAAAUUUUCUAUUGUAACUUGAAUGGCAAAAAUAGACUAGUGGUUGGAGGCUAAAGCUUUUGUAUCAUUUAUCACUAACUAGAGAGACCUAGUUAGAAAGUGAGCAUCAGAAAUUAUACACAGGCCGCUAUUCUUUAUGUGGCAGAGUAGAGCACAUGGAAAUUCUGGGAAGCAAGCAAAGGCAAAGGGAGGGAAACACCAAAAAAGAUGAUUCUGCUCUUUUCAGGCUACAGUAUAUACAGCUGUCCCUGCUGCUUUGAACUUGAAAUUACAGCGGGUGCUGCAGAAUACGUGUUGAAGAAUUACGUGACAUCAGAUAAUCCUGCAUAGUUGGGAAGCAAGAUGAUUCUUCUCCCCUUGCAAAAAGACAAAGUCCUUGUUCUUCCCAAGAGCUGUGACUAUUACAUAACACUCAUUUAAAAUGAUCUGAAAUCAUUUUAAUUGGUACUUACCUGGGAGGCUCUAUCACUUGUCAUUUUGCCAACUCUCUCAAAAUGGCAUGGUGUAUUAGCACUCAUCAGCAGCUGUGAAAGUAUGAUAAGAUGGGAUGAUGUAUACGAACAAUUUCUUCUUCAGAAGAAUUCAUCCAGAAGAAUUGUCAAAUUAUUUUUAAAUGGGUGUAGUUCUUAAUGAAACAUUGCGAGAGAAGUUUAAAGCUUCUCUUGCAGAGUUCCAAUGAUGGCACAAUGGUAAUGAACCUGAGCAGUAUCAUUGAGGACUCAGGUUUGAUCCCUGGCCUCUUUCAGUGGAUUGAGGAUCCUGCGUUGCUGUGAGCCAUAGUAAAGGCCAGUGGCAACAGCUCCAAUUCUUCGACCCCCUAGCCUGGGGACUUCCCUAUGCCGUGGGUGCAGCCCUAAAAAGACCAAAAAAAAAAAAAAAA